GACAGAGGGUGCAAACGUUGUCCGGAAUCACUGGGCGUAAAGGGCGCGUAGGCGGUCUGCUAAGCGUGUGGUGAAAGCUCGGGGCUCAACCCCGAGUCGGCCGUGCGAACUGGUGGACUCGAGCACGUCAGAGGCAGGCGGAAUUCCGGGUGUAGCGGUGGAAUGCGUAGAGAUCCGGAAGAACACCGGUGGCGAAGGCGGCCUGCUGGGACGUGGCUGACGCUGAGGCGCGACAGCGUGGGGAGCAAACAGG
rnacentral:rRNA from 1 species